rnacentral:misc_RNA from 1 species
GGAAUUAGAGUGUGUUCCUGAACUGCUUCGGCGGUUCGCUACGUUCUUCGGAAUGUAUAUAGUGUUCGCAUUAUACCGUAGUCCAAGCCGUGUGGUUCGCCGCACGUCGUUCGUUCGCGGACGAGCAGGUGCCAUAACCUCCAAAUGGUACCUGCGCGUGUUGUCAGCAAGGUCUAAGCUGAUAACACUAUGCUAACGACUGAAGCAUAUUGGAUUACGGGCCAAGGGCAGCUAAGAUCGGAAGCUGUCCUUGAGGAACGCACUCUGAUUCCCCUCCGGAAGGAGCCCCACAGGUAAUAAACCGAUCAUAUUACUUGUGCACUCGCAACAGUCGAGCGGGUGGUAAUGAUUGCGCCCGUUGGCUAGAAUAGACCACUAGCUAACGGCGGGUCUUGGAUCAAUGGAGGAGAUCCAGGACCCGACCCGGACUUCGGUUCGGGUGCGGCCUUAGUUCGCUGAGGCCCGUCGCAUUCGUGUGACGGUGGUUAUUGCGGUCAAGGUUUCGACUUUGAGUAUUCCUUCGGGGAUACGCUUCUUCUGGAGG